ensembl:lncRNA
AACACAUACAGGAAGCAUGAUAAACAUUUCAUUGCUGCAGAGACCAGCUUCAGGGAAGGAGAGGUGCUCCAGACCUCUGAUCAUCUUUGUGGCCCUUUUCUGGGCCCUCUCCAACAGCUCCACAUCCUUCCUGCAUUGAGGGUCCCAGACCUGGACACAGUACUCCAGAUGGGGCCUCACGAGGGCCUCCCUGUCCCUGCUGGCCAUCCCUCUUCUGAUGGAGCUCAGGAUACUCUUGGCCUUCACAGCUGCAAGAGCACACUGCUGGCUCAUGAAGUUUUUCAUCCACCAGGACUACCAGAUUCACACAGACCCACCUCUCAAGUUUGCUGAAGUCCCCCUGGAUGGCAUCCCUUCCUUCUAACAUGUCAAUCGUACCACUUAACUUGAUGUCAUCAGCAAACUUGCUGAGAGUGCACUUGAGCCCAUCAUUGAUGUCACUGAUGAAGAUGUUGAAGAGACAGUGAGAGUUCAUACUGAGAGAUACUUCUAGCUCAAUGUGACCUGUUUAAACCAUCUCCCAUUCAUGAGUGUCAAGGAGAAAGAACAAAGAAAAUGCCUAACAACCCUUUCUGUAAAGAAGUGUUUCCUGAUGUCCAACCUAAACUUAUCCUGGAGCAACUUAAGGCCAUCUCUCCUUGUCCUGUCAGCAGUGAGAAGAGACCAGCCCCACUCUUGCUGUAAGCAACUUUCAGAUAUUGGAAGAGAGCAAGUUCUCCCCUCAGCCUCCUUUUCCCCAGACUGAGCAGUCCCAGUUCCUUCAGCGUCUCCUCGUAGGGCACAUUCGCCAAGCCUUUCACAAGCCCUGUUGCCCUUCUCUGGAUCUGCUCGAGCAUCUCAGUGUCCUUCUUGUACUGAGGUGCCCAAAACUGAACACAGUACUUGAGGUGAGGCCUCAUCAGGGCCGAGUACAGGGGCAGGAUGACUUCCCUAGUCCUGCUCACCACACUGUUCCUGAUACAAACCAGGAUGCCAUUGGCCUUCUUGGCCACCUGGGCACACUGCUGGCUCAUACUCAGAUGACUGUCCAUCAGUACACCAAGGUCCCUUUCCAUCUGGCAGCUUUCCAGCCACUCCUCCCCAAGCCUGGAGGGUUGCCUGGUGUUGUUGUGACCAAAAUGCAGGACCCGACACUUGGCCCUACUGAAACUCAUACAGUUUGCCUUGGCCCAUUGAUCCAGUCUAUCCAGGUCCCUCUAUAGUGCCUUUCUCCCUUCAGGCAGAUCAGCACUCCCUCCCAACUUGGUGUUGUCUGCAAACUUACCGAGGGAGCACUCAAUCCCCUCGUCAAGAUCAUCAAUGAAGAUAUUAAAUUGAAGUGGCCCCAGUACUGAGCCCUGGGGGACAGUGCUUGUGACCGGCCACCAACUAGAUUCAACUCCACUGACCACAACACUUUGUGCCUUGCCAUCCAAGCAAUGUUUCACCCAGCAGAGCGUACGCCCAUCCAAACCGUGGGCAGCCAGCUUCUCCAUGAGAAUGUUGUGGGGGACAGAGUCAAAGGCUUUACUGAAGUCCAGGUAGACCACAUCGACAGCCUUACUUUCAUCCACUAAGCCA